rnacentral:rRNA from 1 species
GACGAACGCUGGCGGCGUGCUUAACACAUGCAAGUCGAACGGAAAGGCCCUGCUUUUGUGGGGUGCUCGAGUGGCGAACGGGUGAGUAACACGUGAGUAACCUGCCCUUGACUUUGGGAUAACUUCAGGAAACUGGGGCUAAUACCGGAUAGGAGCUCCUGCUGCAUGGUGGGGGUUGGAAAGUUUCGGCGGUUGGGGAUGGACUCGCGGCUUAUCAGCUUGUUGGUGGGGUAGUGGCUUACCAAGGCUUUGACGGGUAGCCGGCCUGAGAGGGCGACCGGCCACAUUGGGACGGAGAUACGGCCCAGACUCCUACGGGAGGCAGCAGUGGGGAAUAUUGCACAAUGGGCGGAAGCCUGAUGCAGCAACGCCGCGUGCGGGAUGACGGCCUUCGGGUUGUAAACCGCUUUCGCCUGUGACGAAGCGUGAGUGACGGGAAUGGGUAAAGAAGCACCGGCUAACUACGU